UACGAAGGGGGGCUAGCGUUGUUCGGAAUUACUGGGCGUAAAGGGCGCGUAGGCGGUACUUCAAGUCAGGCGUGAAAGCCCCCGGGCUCAACCUGGGAACCGCGCUUGAGACUGGAGAACUAGAGUUCGGGAGAGGAUGGUGGAAUUCCCAGUGUAGAGGUGAAAAUUCGUAGAUAUUGGGAAGAACACCGAUGGCGAAAGGCAGCCAUCUGGACCGACACUGACGCUGAGGCGCGAAAGCGUGGGGAGCAAAACAGG
rnacentral:rRNA from 1 species